rnacentral:rRNA from 1 species
UACGAAGGGGGCUAGCGUUGCUCGGAAUCACUGGGCGUAAAGCGCACGUUAGGCGGAUUGUUAAGUCAGGGGUGAAAUCCUGGAGCUCAACUCCAGAACUGCCUUUGAUACUGGCGAUCUCGAGUCCGGGAGAGGUGAGUGGAACUGCGAGUGUAGAGGUGAAAUUCGUAGAUAUUCGCAAGAACACCAGUGGCGAAGGCGGCUCACUGGCCCGGUACUGACGCUGAGGUGCGAAAGCGUGGGGAGCAAACAGG